rnacentral:rRNA from 1 species
GACGAACGCUGGCGGCGUGCCUAAUACAUGCAAGUUGAGCGAUGAAGAUUGGUGCUUGCACCAAUUUGAAGAGCAGCGAACGGGUGAGUAACGCGUGGGGAAUCUGCCUUUGAGCGGGGGACAACAUUUGGAAACGAAUGCUAAUACCGCAUAACAACUUUAAACAUAAGUUUUAAGUUUGAAAGAUGCAAUUGCAUCACUCAAAGAUGAUCCCGCGUUGUAUUAGCUAGUUGGUGAGGUAAGGCUCACCAAGGCGAUGAUACAUAGCCGACCUGAGAGGGUGAUCGGCCACAUUGGGACUGAGACACGGCCCAAACUCCUACGGGAGGCAGCAGUAGGGAAUCUUCGGAAAUGGACGAAAGUCUGACCGAGCAACGACGAGUGAGUGAAGAAGGUUUUCGGAUCGUAAAACUCUGUUGGUAGAGAAGAACGUUGGUGAGAGUGGAAAGCUCAUCAAGUGACGGUAACUACCCAGAAAGGGACGGCUAACUACGUG